AAAAAACCCCCUUGUUUAUACUUUAUAUAUCAUCUCCUCCCUCGUUCAGCUGUUGCUUUCCCUCCAAAAAAGAAGCUGGUGAAGCCUGGAAAUUGGCACAUCCAAAUUAAAAAAUAUAUGUAGUAAUUAUCUUUUGAGUGCGAAUUAAUUAAAAGAUGGCGUCGACCUCAGCUCCUCAUCGGAGCAACGCCGGCGGCUAUAGCAGAAUGAAGUCGGCAGCAUCCAAGCUUUACAACGACAAUCAAUCUCUUAUAGCUGAAAUGAGGAGGGCUUUUAAUAUGAUGAAAGAAAUUGCGGUUGAUUUGGAGAAAGAUAAGAAGUCCGAUUUGGUUAAAGAGCUUGAAAAUGGAGUAGCAGAACUGUUAGAAGCUUCUGAUGACUGCAUGCAUCUUUCAACUGCUAUUCUGUCUGUUGGAAAUGAGUACCGACCCAGGCAGGAGCAGCUAACGGAUUUUAAGAAGUUACUGGAUGAUGAGAUUACAAAAUCAAAGGCAACUUCAUCAUCAACUUCACAAAACCAUCAGUUUUUACGACAAUUUAGGGAAGCUGUCUGGAAUGUUCAUCAUUCAGGCAUCCCAAUGCCAGGUGAGGAGCAGGAGGACAUUGUGAUGACCAGUACUGAAAGCAAUAUUCUCAACAAAACUUGCCCAGUGACUGGGAAGCCAGUCACUGAACUAGCAGACCCAGUGCGAAGCAUGGACUGCAAGCAUGUUUAUGACAAGAACGCUAUCAUGUAUCACAUGAGAUCCAUGAAAUCCAACUGCCCUUGUCCUGUAGCAGGUUGCCCUAAAGAGUUGCAGGUGCAGAGAUUGAUAUGUGACCCUCUGUUGUUAGUAGAAAUUGAAGAAAUGCGCACAAUGAGCAAAGGAGCUGCUCAACCUGGGGUUAUAGAAGAUUUUACUGGGUGACGCAAAAUGACCUAUCAAGUUUGAAAAGAGAGUCUGUCCAUCACGGGCACGUUCAAGAUCGAGCAAUCGGGGUACGUUGGCUGUUUGGUAAGGAAAUGCCACGAAUAGAUUUUCAGCCCUACACUCGAAUAAUUGUGCCUCGUAGUGGAAGAUAUUAUGUGCAGAGACUCCAGCAGAAAUCAACCUUCUUGCGGCCGGCUUAAUUUUCCAGAUCAAAGAAAUGAGAAAUCUAACUAUCCUCGAGAUCGCCAGGCAUCCACAUCACCAAUGAUUUUGCAUGAUCAUGGUAAAUAUACAGUUUCUUAUAUCGUCAUACUCAUCUUACAUACUCACUUUUUGGCUGCACUAUCUUGCUAAAUCAACUAUAGAUACAAUACAAUACAAUUGUAUUACAAUUGUUCGAUUACAAUACAAUUAUAUUACAUUCUAUUGA